CGGACGGGUGAGUAAUGCUUGGGAAUCUGGCUUAUGGAGGGGGAUAACUACGGGAAACUGUAGCUAAUACCGCGUAAUAUCUUCGGAUUAAAGGGUGGGACUUUCGGGCCACCUGCCAUAAGAUGAGCCCAAGUGGGAUUAGGUAGUUGGUGGGGUAAAGGCCUACCAAGCCGACGAUCUCUAGCUGGUCUGAGAGGAUGACCAGCCACACUGGAACUGAGACACGGUCCAGACUCCUACGGGAGGCAGCAGUGGGGAAUAUUGCACAAUGGGGGGAACCCUGAUGCAGCCAUGCCGCGUGAAUGAAGAAGGCCUUCGGGUUGUAAAGUUCUUUCGGUGAUGAGGAAGGUGUUUGUUUUAAUAGAACAAGCAAUUGACGUUAGUCACAGAAGAAGCACCGGCUAACUCCGUGCCAGCAGCCGCGGUAAUCCGGAGGGUGCGAGCGUUAAUCGGAAUGACUGGGCGUAAAGGGCACGCAGGCGGUGACUUAAGUGAGAUGUGAAAGCCCCGGGCUUAACCUGGGAAUUGCAUUUCAUACUGGGUCGCUAGAGUAUUUUAGGGAGGGGUAGAAUUCCACGUGUAGCGGUGAAAUGCGUAGAGAUGUGGAGGAAUACCGAAGGCGAAGGCAGCCCCUUGGGAAUAUACUGACGCUCAUGUGCGAAAGCGUGGGGAGCAAACAGGAUUAGAUACCCUGGUAGUCCACGCUGUAAACGCUGUCGAUUUGGGGAUUGGGCUUUAAGCUUGGUGCCCGUAGCUAACGUGAUAAAUCGACCGCCUGGGGAGUACGGCCGCAAGGCUAAAACUCAAAUGAAUUGACGGG
rnacentral:rRNA from 1 species